rnacentral:lncRNA from 12 species
GAGACGAGCACUGACGUGAGGCACAGCAAGCGGAGGUGGCCGAUGUUCCGGAAAAGGACGAAGUGAUCAGUGUGUCAUCAUUACAAGCUGGAUGCUGUGUCACAGUCUGCAAACAGAGAAGGAA